rnacentral:rRNA from 1 species
UAGGGAAUCUUCGGCAAUGGACGAAAGUCUGACCGAGCAACGCCGCGUGAGUGAAGAAGGUUUUCGGAUCGUAAAACUCUGUUGUUAGAGAAGAACAAGGACGUUAGUAACUGAACGUCCCCUGACGGUAUCUAACCAGAAAGCCACGGCUAACUACGUGCCAGCAGCCGCGGUAAUACGUAGGUGGCAAGCGUUGUCCGGAUUUAUUGGGCGUAAAGCGAGCGCAGGCGGUUUCUUAAGUCUGAUGUGAAAGCCCCCGGCUCAACCGGGGAGGGUCAUUGGAAACUGGGUGACUUGACUGAAGAAGAGGAGAGUGGAAUUCCAUGUGUAGCGGUGAAAUGCGUAGAUAUAUGGAGGAACACCAGUGGCGAAGGCGGCUCUCUGGUCUGUAACUGACGCUGAGGCUCGAAAGCGUGGGGAGCAAACAGG